rnacentral:rRNA from 1 species
GACAGAGGUGCCGAGCGUUAGGCGGAAUCACUGGGCUUAAAGCGUGUGUAGGCGGAUGCCUAAGUACCUUGUGAAAUCCCCCGGCUUAACCGGGGAACUGCUUGGUAUACUGGGUGUCUUGAGCCACUUAGGGGCGACCGGAACAAACGGUGGAGCGGUGAAAUGCGUAGAUAUCGUUUGGAACGCCAAAGGUGAAAACAGGUUGCUGGGAAUGUGCCGACGCUGAGACACGAAAGCCAGGGGAGCAAACGGGG